ensembl:lncRNA
CUGUAUUAGAGGGAUUUUUGUUGUUUGUUUUAACACAGAAACAACUGAUUCCCCCAAUGUCUUUCCAAAGCUAUCCGUUCUUUGUGGGGACUCGAGUCCACAACGUCUAACAGGAUUCUAGCUAGGAGAUAUAAGGUAUCUUGGUAUUGAAAUUUUACAGUUUCUCCUCUGAAAGAUCACAUAUUUUGCAUAGCCUAAUUUUGUACAAAGGAAAAUAGAGAGCAAGAGCUGGAGCAAAAGACAGAGACUGAGUCUGAGACCAAGAGAGAGACAGUGACAGAGACAGAGGAGACAGACAGAGACAGAGACGGAAGACAGAGACAGAGACAGAGACAGAGACAGAGACAGAGACAGAGACAGAGACAGAGACAGAGACAGAGACAGAGACAGAGACAGAGACAGAGACAGACAGAGAAGAACUUACCCAGGACUCUGCAGCACCCAGCUAAUUCCCUUGGGAGAACAUGAAAGUCAACCCUGAAACAUCAACAGGACGUCUAAGGAAAAGGAAUGGCCAAGAUGCACAACCUGAACAUGUUCAGUCUCCGUGCAGCCUCUUCUGUUGCUGAACCAGUACCUGAGAUGAUGUCAAGUGUAUGGAGUCAUA